rnacentral:rRNA from 1 species
AGUGAACGCUGGCGGUAGGCCUAACACAUGCAAGUCGAACGGCAGCACAGGAGAGCUUGCUCUCUGGGUGGCGAGUGGCGGACGGGUGAGGAAUACAUCGGAAUCUACUCUGUCGUGGGGGAUAACGUAGGGAAACUUACGCUAAUACCGCAUACGACCUACGGGUGAAAGCAGGGGACCUUCGGGCCUUGCGCGAUUGAAUGAGCCGAUGUCGGAUGAGCCAGUUGGCGGGGUAAAGGCCCACCAAGGCGACGAUCCGUAGCUGGUCUGAGAGGGUGAUCAGCCACACUGGAAAUGAGCCACGGGACAGACUCCUACGGGCGGAAGCAGUGGGGAAGAUUGGACAAUGGGCGCAAGCCUGCUCCAGCCAUACCGCGUGGGUGAAGAAGGCCUUCGGGUUGUAAAGCCCUUUUGUUGGGAAAGAAAGCCAGCUGGCUAAUACCCGGUUGGGAUGACGGUACCCAAAGAAUAAGCACCGGCUAACUUCGUGCCAGCCGCCGCCGUAA